UAUUUUAAAGAGAGUUUGAUCCUGGCUCAGGACGAACGCUGGCGGCGUGCCUAAUACAUGCAAGUCGAACGAACGGAGGAAGAGCUUGCUCUUCCAAAGUUAGUGGCGGACGGGGGAGUAACACGUGGGCAACCUGCCUGUAAGUUGGGGAUAACUCCGGGAAACCGGGGCUAAUACCGAAUGAUAAAGUGUGGCGCAUGCCACGCUUUUGAAAGAUGGUUUCGG
rnacentral:rRNA from 1 species